ensembl:lncRNA
CUGUUUUGGAGGACUUCUGACAGGAGGUGGAGGUCUGGCUCUGGGUGAGGAGGUGGAGGUCUUGCUCUGGGUGAGGAGGCAGACACCUUGGGACAAACUACAUGUUACCUUUUUAACCUUGUACAGUUCUAGAGUAUCUUCUACUGUAACAUGUGGGAAUGACGGCCAUCAUUUUAGCUUUGAUAUUAUCCAGUUGGUAACUCUGCACCAAAGUCGUUGUUUAACGUCAUUCCAUUGGGUAGGGUUUAACUUCUGUGGCAAUUAAUGACAGCAGAUAUUUAGAACGUACAAAAGCUGAAGUAACAAAGAACACUAAGCAGUAUCGAUAUUAAAUCAAAUAUACUCAGCCAUAUUCAGGUGCUGGGUUCCGUUGAAGAAAUGUCAAAUUAUCUUCCACCUUGAAAUGAUUUUCAGCCUUUCCUGAUGUCAAAAAUGGGCCCGCAAGUAGAACGCUGUUUUGUACGCAGCGAGAGUCCCGUCACGUCAUCGUGGUUAAAAGUACGGCGCAACGAUCGGAAAUUAACAUAUUGUAAGACGUACGUGUCAGUAUGUAUUAGUAACAUCAAAACUUAAGUUGUUUAAGAUAGGGGCAACAAUUCCCAAUGGGAACCGACUGAAAAAAUUGUUUCCGUUGGCAACGGCUCGAGGUUACGCAAAUACAACCCAGAACGUUCCGCCAGAUGCCCGUCCAACUAACUGCCAGGUGGUUUCUUAUGGUUGUUAAGACUACAACGUUCUAUGCUAACCAUUGGGACUAAAUCAAGUGACCGCACUCAGAACCUUCCACGGCGGGAAGCACAAACCGUCCGACUGGAAUCCGAACAUUCCGGCCGGAACCAACCAAAGAAAAAACAGAACCAGCGCCUCACCUUGAGCUGAACGGAGGAAGAUCCUGAAGUCCAGCGAUGGUCCUCAUUAAAACACAGCCAACAGACUUACCUUGAGGAGAUCUGUUUGUUGCUGUUGGACAUUACUACUAUUCAGUGUACCUUUACAUUAUUAUGCACCCAGUGUGUACAAGUUAUAUCAUUCAAAACCAUACGAAGGACCAAACUACCAUGUACGUCCCACAACAACUUUAAACCUAAAAUCAUUCAAUACAAAACCGUGUCUACAUUUUACAAUUAUCUAGAUUAUUCAGGGUACAAACCAUACAGAGCAAAUCUAAACGUUGAGCUCACAGAGAGCCAACCAUAGCCCUUCAACGUCACCCUGACCGCCUCAUCACCAACAGCAAAUCAUGCCAGCCAACACAUGUACAGCUCCAGUGAGCAUCUGAGUGAAAGGACUGCCAUAAUAAAAAUAAGCCCAAUUCCUGAACUAUCUAACCAUCUUCAUGGUUUAAAGAUUUACAGACUUGACAUUCCAUUGUGUUCUAAUCACCUUAGUCUGCUCCCUCGUUACUUAUAAAACUCUGCAUGUCCAUCACUAGAGUGUUGCAUCCUACCCAUGGGGAUGUGGUCUGAGUGAG